UCCAGACUCCUACGGGAGGCAGCAGUGAGGAAUAUUGGUCAAUGGGAGGAAUCCUGGACCAGCCAUGCCGCGUGCAGGACGACGGCUCUACGAGUUGUAAACUGCUUUUGUACCGGGGUAAAAUGCCUUACGAGUAGGGUUUUGAAAGUACGGUACGAAUAAGGAUCGGCUAACUCCGUGCCAGCAGCCGCGGUAAUACGGAGGAUCCGAGCGUUAUCCGGAUUCAUUGGGUUUAAAGGGAGCGUAGGCCGGCUUUUAAGUCAGCUGUGAAAGUCCGCGGCUCAACCGUGGAAUUGCAGUUGAAACUGGAGGCCUUGAGUGCACACAGGGAUGCCGGAAUUCAUGGUGUAGCGGUGAAAUGCUUAGAUAUCAUGAAGAACUCCGAUCGCGAAGGCAAGUGUCCGGGGUGCAACUGACGCUGAGGCUCGAAAGUGCGGGUAUCAAACAGGAUUAGAUACCCCUAUA
rnacentral:rRNA from 1 species